rnacentral:rRNA from 1 species
UACGUAGGGGGCAAGCGUUGUCCGGAAUCAUUGGGCGUAAAGCGCGUGUAGGCGGCCAGAAAAGUCCGCUGUGAAAACUCGAGGCUCAACCUCGAGCUGUCGGUGGAAACUUUCUGGCUAGAGUCCGGAAGAGGAGAAUGGAAUUCCUGGUGUAGCGGUGAAAUGCGCAGAUAUCAGGAGGAACACCGGUGGCGAAGGCGGGUCUCUGGGCCGAUACUGACGCUGAGGAGCGAAAGCGUGGGGAGCGAACAGG